rnacentral:rRNA from 1 species
AUUAAACGCUGGCGGCAUGCCUUACACAUGCAAGCCGAACGGUAGCGCGGGGCAACCUGGCGACGAGUGGCGAACGGGUGAGUAAAGCAUCGGAACGUGCCCUGGAAUGGGGGAUAACGUAGCGAAAGUUACGCUAAUACCGCAUAUUCUGUGAGCAGGAAAGCAGGGGAUCGCAAGACCUUGCGUUCUGGGAGCGGCCGAUGUCGGAUUAGCUAGUUGGUGGGGUAAAAGCCUACCAAGGCGACGAUCCGUAGCGGGUCUGAGAGGAUGAUCCGCCACACUGGGACUGAGACACGGCCCAGACUCCUACGGGAGGCAGCAGUGGGGAAUUUUGGGACAAUGGGCGGAAGCCUGAUCCAGCCAUGCCGCGUGAGUGAAGAA